AGUAUUAAAUAGAAGGAAGUUCCUCUAUUUUUCUUUCUCCUUCAUUCUCUACGGUUCUUUCAAUUAGCAUCUAUAGGCGACAAAUACACUAGAUUCUGAAAUUGUCGUUUCAGAUAAUCGACCUUUACUCGCUGUAAUCCGAGUAUUGGAUUUGAAGAAAAUGGAAGGAAUGGUGGAUAACUACAGGAGCAGUACAAAGAAGAUAAUGUCACCAUGUGACGUGGAGGCUCUGAAGAAAUGUUUGGAGGAAAACAAAGGGGAUUAUUUCAAAUGCCAAUCGCAGAUUGAAGCUUUCAGAUCUUCAUGUUCCAUAAAAAGUGCGAAGACAUCUUCGGAUUCCCGCAAAUAGUUAAACGCUGCUGUUUAAUUGUAAUCUACAUCUGUAAUACGAAGUGUUGUGCCUAGAUAAAGGGGAGACAACUGCUUAAAGAUUAUCAGGAUGUUGUGCAGGCUCUCAUGAAGAGUCGAGCUUUAAAAUCUUCUCGCUCUCUAGAAAAUGCCUUCUAUAUAGCUCAACAUUGAUGUUUACUCUUUUUUUGUAGCCUUCCAUUUUCAAUUGGACAAGUCGGGCAUUUCUGCUCUAUGACACUGUUGGUUUUGAGAAAUUUGCAAUAACUAUUUUUUUCACUUUUAUUCA